rnacentral:rRNA from 1 species
GACGAGCUCUCCAAACGUUAUUCGGUAUCACUGGGCUUAAAGAGUUCGUAGGCGGCCUAGCAGGUCAGGUGUGAAAUCCCACAGCUCAACUGUGGAAUAGCACUUGAAACCGCAAGGCUUGAGGGAGAUAGAGGUAAGCGGAACAGAUGGUGGAGCGGUGAAAUGCGUUGAUAUCAUCUGGAACACCGGUGGCGAAAGCGGCUUACUGGGUCUCUUCUGACGCUGAGGAACGAAAGCUAGGGUAGCGAACGGG